GACGAACGCUGGCGGCGUGCCUAACACAUGCAAGUCGAACGGUCAAGCGCCUUCCUUUUUGGUGGGUGUGGAUGAGUGGUGAACGGGUGAGUAACACGUGAGUAUCCUGACCCCUCCUUCUGGAUAACCGCAUGAAAGUGUGGCUAAUACGGGAUAUUCUGGGUCUGUCGCAUGAUGGGUCUGGGAAAGUUAUUGUUUCGGUGGGGGAUGGGCCCGCGGCCUAUCAGGUUGUUGGUGGGGUGAUGGCCUACCAAGGCGGUGACGGGUAGCCGGCCUGGGAGGGUGGACCGCCCCGCUGGGGCGGAGCCGCGGCCCCUCCUCCGACGGGAGGCAGCAGUGGGGCAUACGGCACGAUGGGCGGCAGGAUGAUGCAGCGCCGCGGCGUUGGUGAUGGAGUCCUGCGGGUUGUGAACCUCUUUCGCGAGUGAAGCAGGGCUGCCUCGUCUGUGGGUGGGUUGACGGUAGCUGGAGAAGAAGCGCCGGCUAACUACGUG
rnacentral:rRNA from 1 species